UUUAAUAUAAUAUUUGAAUUAAUCUUUAUUCGUUUAUAUGUGCUGUACAAACAUCUUGGGUUUUUAUGCUCGUUACAGUACUAAUUGUAAGCCAAAGUAAUCUUUAGGGGAGUUACUAUGACGAUCGUGACGUCACAUGCUAUCACCCUACGUUAUUAUUCGCAUUAUACUUUCUCUUCUCGUAUUUGUAAUACGUAAGCUUUAGUCGCCACGUUAAUUGAAUUAUUCUUACUUAAGGUGGUUGUAGAUGAUCACAAUUAAUACCAAAGAGCAUAAGAGCCAAAGAUCAAAUCAAAUGAACAUCUAAAAGUUUUAAAAGUAUUGCUUCCGAUUAUGAGCAAAAAACGAAUAAUAUCUCCAGGUAAUCUUCGUAGACGUUUAAUUACUUGACUUCGAUUAACUUUAAACGUGACGCCAUAGCUGGACUAUACGUCAUGCGCAGGUUAGUCAACGUUUUAUAGAUAAUAUUCAUUAAGGAAUUUAAUGACAUUACAACAGGAUUUAUUUCAUAAUCUUAUACGCAUUACCGAAUAAUCAUUUCUUUUCAUAUGAUUCAUUUGCGAGUAAUUCUUACGCACUUAUUCAUACUUAAUAUUUCUCAAGUUCUCGGCUUUUUAUUGCGUCUCGUUAUACUUAUUCGAAAGCAGGAUGCGAAUUAAGUGAAACGAGUCGAGCUAAGUGGUUUGCAUUUUCAUUAAAAUCUAAUAUUAGAUGAAGUUUAACGCCGUGCUCAACUGUGAAUUCAUAAAAAGGGGAUCAUAAAGUUGUCAGAUGACGGGAAGUUGUUUUAUAAAAAGUUUCAAAACAUAAAAGAAGAUUGAAAAAAAUAUG
rnacentral:lncRNA from 1 species